UUAUUCUGCCCAGAAUAAUACAUUUCUGGGCAGAAAUUGAUUGUUUAACUGAUCAACAGCAGACUGAUCUGCUGCAGUCAGUCAGAGCAUUUCCAUAGAGUCACUUUGCAUCAGCAGCUCCAUGCUCCAGUGCUCUGGGAGAGUUUAUAGUCCUGACAGUUGAACACUGGAUGACUCUGUGUCUGACAACUGACAGCUGUCCUUCAUCACAACAGAAGACACAGAAAUCCUCUUCAUCAAAAACAUGACUUUGAUCUGCAUCCUCAUCUGGACUCUCCUCUGCUGUUGCUUCACAGAGGUCAGAGGUCAGGUCACAGUGACUCAGCAGCCUGUAGCAGUGAGAGCUGAUCUGGGAAGAUCUAUCAGCAUCAACUGUAGAACCAGUCAGAAUGUUUAUGUGGACAGCAAUGGCCACCGUUUAGCCUGGUACCAACAGAAAGAUGGACAAACUCCUAAGCUUCUCAUUUAUUUUUCUAGCACUCGAGCAUCAGGGACUCCAAGUCGUUUUACAGGCAGUGGAUCAAACUCUGACUUCACUCUGACCAUCAGUGGAGUUCAGGCUGAAGAUGCUGGAGUUUAUUACUGUCAGAGUGCUCACCACAUCAACAGCAAGUGGACGGGUCUGAUACAGUUCACUGAUCCCCCCUCUCCAUCCUGCAUACACUUGUUGAGAUCAGCAGAUCUUCUUUUAUCAUCUCCUUCCAUGAGGAAACUGAUAGUCUAGGCAAUUUCCUCCUUGACUACAGAAGCAGCAUCGAGUUGACACUGCUAAGGUGCAGCUGCCUUCAAUCACCAUCUUCCCAUAAAUACUCAGGAUUUACAUCCACUCAUUGCCAGAUCAAAUGAUUUCACUUCAUACAAAG